GAGCAACCCCACAGCCCUGAGGAGGAGCAACCCCACAGCCCUGAGGAGGAGCAACCCCACAGCCCUGGCUAAGGAGCAACCCCACAGCCCUGAGGAGGAGCAACCCCACAGCCCUGGCUAAGGAGCAACCCCACAGCCCUGGCUAAGGAGCAACCCCACAGCCCUGAGGAGGAGCAACCCCACAGCCCUGGCUAAGGAGCAACCCCACAGCCAUGCGGAGGAGCAACCCCACAGCCCUGGCUAAGGAGCAACCCCACAGCCCUGCGGAGGAGCAACCCCACAGCCCUGGCUAAGGAGCAACCCCACAGCCCUGGCUAAGGAGCAACCCCACAGCCCUGGCUAAGGAGCAACCCCACAGCCCUGGCUAAGGAGCAACCCCACAGCCCUGGCUAAGGAGCAACCCCACAGCCCUGGCUAAGAAGCAACCCCACAGCCCUGGCUAAGGAGCAACCCCACAGCCCUGGCUAAGGAGCAACCCCACAGCCCUGCAGAGGAGCAACCCCACAGCCCUGCGGAGGAGCAACCCCACAGCCCUGCAGAGGAGCAACCCCACAGCCCUGCAGAGGAGCAACCCCACAGCCCUGCAGAGGAGCAACCCCACAGCCCUGCGGAGGAGCAACCCCACAACCCUGCGGAGGAGCAACCCCACAGCCCUGAGGAGGAGCAACCCCACAGCCCUGCAGAGGAGCAACCCCACAGCCCUGGCUAAGGAGCAACCCCACAGCCCUGCAGAGGAGCAACCCCACAGCCCUGCGGAGGAGCAACCCCACAGCCCUGCAGAGGAGCAACCCCACAGCCCUGGCUAAGGAGCCACCCCACAGCCCUGCAGAGGAGCAACCCCACAGCCCUGCAGAGGAGCAACCCCACAGCCCUGGCUAAGAAGCAACCCCACAGCCCUGGCUAAGGAGCAACCCCACAGCCCUGGCUCAGGAGCAACCCCACAGCCCUGCAGAGGAGCAACCCCACAGCCCUGCAGAGGAGCAACCCCACAGCCCUGGCUAAGAAGCAACCCCACAGCCCUGGCUAAGGAGCAACCCCACAGCCCUGGCUAAGGAGCAACCCCACAGCCCUGCAGAGGAGCAACCCCACAGCCCUGCAGAGGAGCAACCCCACAGCCCUGCAGAGGAGCAACCCCACAGCCCUGCAGAGGAGCAACCCCACAGCCCUGCGGAGGAGCAACCCCACAGCCCUGCAGAGGAGCAACCCCACAGCCCUGGCUAAGGAGCCACCCCACAGCCCUGCAGAGGAGCAACCCCACAGCCCUGGCUAAGGAGCAAUCCUACAGCACUGCAGAGGAGCAACCCCACAGCCCUGCAGAGGAGCAGGAUUAGUACAACAAGCCACUGUCUGUUACACUUCCCAGUGAGGGCCAGGUCGGGAGGCCUGCUAUCCCGGCCCACCACGACCUCAUCCUGUCUCUGCUGGCUAAGAUUGACCAGGGGGUCAUCACUCAGACAUGCCCUGACCCAGAGGGUUCCUGUUUGGAGGAGGGAUAGGUCCGCGAGGGCCAGAGACCCAUACUGCAUCCUGCAGGGACUGCUGACUGGACACUCCCCCACCAGCCGGCCAAGGGCCAGGACAGGGACCAGGACGGGGAGGGGGACAGAGCUUCACCCCAACCCCAGACAGAGACACGUCUCCUCCCCAGGACAGCUCACCCUGCAAU